CCUCACUGGAUCCACACUCCAAAAGAAAGCUCUCUGGGAGCUGAAACAAUGUGUGGAACAUGUAUUCAACCAUGCUGGCAUCCCGAGACCUGAAAGAAAGAAAACUGAAGUGAAUGUGAAUGCUUUGGAGGAUCCUAACCAAGAGAACCUUGGCUAACUUCCUCAAAAUUGGGGCAGUGGAGGUAGGACAUCUACCUGGUUUCUUGUUGAUACGGCUUCUGUAAUUCUGUGCAUUAACCAACAC